rnacentral:rRNA from 1 species
GACGAACGCUGGCGGCGUGCUUAACACAUGCAAGUCGAACGGAAAGGCCCUGCUUUUGUGGGGUGCUCGAGUGGCGAACGGGUGAGUAAUACGUGAGUAGCCUGCCCUUGACUUUGGGAUAACUUCAGGAAACUGGGGCUAAUACCGGAUAGGAGCUCCUGCUGCAUGGUGGGGGUUGGAAAGUUUCGGCGGUUGGGGAUGGACUCGCGGCUUAUCAGCUUGUUGGUGGGGUAGUGGCUUACCAAGGCUUUGACGGGUAGCCGGCCUGAGAGGGUGACCGGCCACAUUGGGACUGAGAUACGGCCCAGACUCCUACGGGAGGCAGCAGUGGGGAAUAUUGCACAAUGGGCGGAAGCCUGAUGCAGCAACGCCGCGUGCGGGAUGACGGCCUUCGGGUUGUAAACCGCUUUCGCCUGUGACGAAGCGUGAGUGACGGUAAUGGGUAAAGAAGCACCGGCUAACUACGUG